rnacentral:lncRNA from 1 species
AAACCGUACCCAUAGCCACGAUAAUUUAUUAUUAAUCGCGACCAAAGCAAGCUACGAUGUUCAAAAUUAUUUCCUACUUUGAGAUUAUUGAGGCAAGAUUAUGUAUAACAAGUUUAUGUGGAAAGAAUGUAGUAAAUUGGUCAUAAAAAUGUUAGCUCUUGAUUCUUCUCAGGUAGGAUUAAACUUUCCGGACCCAAUCCUUAGCUCAAAAUCGUUUCAUGACUCAUUUACAAUUGAACCCAACUGAAUCACAUAGAUUAUUCUCCAAACCUAAAACUUAUAUUUUAACAAGCUAAUUUCUGAUAAAAUGACAUAAUACAUUAUACUCCAACAUCCUGCGUUCAAGCAAACAAACAAAAAAUGGUAGAGUUAAACAUCAUAAUAAUUACCCUCAUUCAAGUGCACAAAGAGCUGGACUCUUUCAAAAAUAGAUAUGCUCAAAUAGUAGUUGAAUUCGAAAGCAUACUACUCUUAAAAUAGACUAUUAUUUAAACAUGGUAUAAGCUCCAAUCAUGAAAUAAUUGUGUGAGCAGAUAUCAGUGAACAUUCGACCCCUUUUUUUAAAAUACAUAAUCAAUAUCACAAAACAACAAGCAAUCCAAACAAUUAAAUCAAACAGAACAUGCCGAUUCUAAGUGAACAACUACAAAUACGGAACACAAUACCCAAUUUCUCAGAUUAUAUUUGAAAAGUAAUUUUCAGCUGGAUGUGUACAUACCUAAAAGCAGAACAAUAACAAGGACUUUUCAGCUAGAUGUGUAUAUACCUAAGAGCAGACCAAUAACAGGCCACGACCGAACCCGACACAGCAACACAUACCAGAAAACCUCAGCUCUGUUUCUUGCCUCCUUGUGAAUUUAUACGUUAGCUUUCAGCAGAGAAAAAAGUCGUUGGGAUUUUUCCAUGGGGUGUCCUAGGUUAGAGAUUAGACGGCAAAAGGCAGAAGCUUUUCCAAAGAGUUUGGGUGAAGCUCUUUUCGUUCUUUUUGGGUCUGUUUCUGUGUAUGGCUGCUGGUGAACUUUUAUUCUUUUUGUUCUUUCAAGGUUUUAAAUCUUGUAUCGUGUAGAAGAAAGGUUCAGGUCCUCAAAACAGCGGAUCGUGU